rnacentral:rRNA from 1 species
GAUCGAGCGCGAAAAGGGCAUCUGGUGGAUGCCUUGGCACUGAGAGGCGAUGAAGGACGUAGCACGUUGCGAUAAGCUUCGGGGAGCCGCGAGCAGGCUUUGAUCCGAGGAUUUCCGAAUGGGGCAACCCACCGCGCGAGCGGUAUCGUACAGUGAAUACAUAGCUGUGCGAGGCGAACCCGGCGAACUGAAACAUCUAAGUAGCCGGAGGAAAGGACAUCAACCGAGACUCCGUUAGUAGUGGCGAGCGAACACGGACCAGGCCAGUGGUGUUGUGAUUAGAACCGGAACGGUCUGGAAAGGCCGGCCAUAGUGGGUGAUAGCCCCGUAUGGGUAGAAGGUCACAGCAUCCUCGAGUAGGGCGGGACACGUGAAAUCCUGUCUGAAAUUGGGGGGACCACCCUCCAAGCCUAAGUACUCCUCAGUGACCGAUAGUGAACCAGUACCGUGAGGGAAAGGUGAAAAGCACCCCGACAAGGGGAGUGAAACAGUUCCUGAAACCGGAUGCCUACAAGCAGUUGGAGCUCAAGGUUCGUCCUGGGUGACAGCGUACCUUUUGUAUAAUGGGUCAGCGAGUUGGUCUUACGAGCAAGCUUAAGCCGUUAGGUGUAGGCGCAGCGAAAGCGAGUCUGAACAGGGCGUUCAGUUCGUAGGAUCAGACCCGAAACCGAGUGAUCUAUCCAUGGCCAGGUUGAAGAUGCAGUAACAUGCAUUGGAGGACCGAACCCACGCCUGUUGAAAAAGUCGGGGAUGAGCUGUGGAUAGGGGUGAAAGGCCAAUCAAACUCGGAGAUAGCUGGUUCUCCGCGAAAUCUAUUUAGGUAGAGCGUCGAAUGUUUACCGCCGGGGGUAGAGCACUGGAUGGGCUAGGGGGUCCCAAAGACUUACCAAACCUAACCAAACUCCGAAUACCGGUGAGUAUAGUUCGGCAGGCAGACGGCGGGUGCUAACGUCCGUCGUCGAGAGGGAAACAACCCUGACCGCCAGCUAAGGUCCCCAAGUCAUGGCUAAGUGUGGAAGGAUGUGGGAAGGCCAAAACAACCAGGAGGUUGGCUUAGAAGCAGCCAUCCUUUAAAGAAAGCGUAAUAGCUCACUGGUCUAAACAAGCCGGCCUGCGCCGAAAAUGUAUCGGGGCUAAAGCCAUGCACCGAAGCUGCGGGUUUGCAGUGAUGCAAGCGGUAGCGGAGCGUUCCGUAAGCCUGUGAAGGGUCACCCGUGAGGGGGCCUGGAGGUAUCGGAAGUGAGAAUGCUGACAUGAGUAGCGAAAUGAGUGUGAGAAACACUCACGCCGAAUGUCCAAGGGUUCCUGCGUAAAGUUAAUCUGCGCAGGGUGAGCCGGCCCCUAAGGCGAGGGCGAAAGCCGUAGUCGAUGGGAACCAGGUUAAUAUUCCUGGGCCUGCGGGUGGUGACGGAUGGUGUGUAUCGUUUGCCCUUAUUGGAUUGGGCGGGCGGUGAAGCUGUCCCUGGAAAUAGCCCCCGCGAAUAGACCGUACCCCAAACCGACACAGGUGGACUGGUAGAGUAUACCAAGGCGCUUGAGAGAACGAUGCUGAAGGAACUCGGCAAAUUGACCCCGUAACUUCGGAAGAAGGGGUGCCUGUCAUUGCGCAAGCAGUGAUGGGUGGCACAGACCAGGGGGUAGCGACUGUUUACUAAAAACACAGGGCUCUGCGAAGUCGAGAGACGACGUAUAGGGUCUGACGCCUGCCCGGUGCCGGAAGGUUAAGAGGAGAUGUGCAAGCAUUGAAUCGAAGCCCCGGUAAACGGCGGCCGUAACUAUAACGGUCCUAAGGUAGCGAAAUUCCUUGUCGGGUAAGUUCCGACCUGCACGAAUGGCGUAACGACUUCCCCACUGUCUCCAGCAUCGGCUCAGCGAAAUUGAACUCUCCGUGAAGAUGCGGAGUACCCGCGGUCAGACGGAAAGACCCCGUGCACCUUUACUACAGUUUUGCAGUGGUGCUAGGGAUCGCUUGUGUAGCAUAGGUGGGAGGCUUUGAAGCGCGGGCGCCAGCUCGCGUGGAGCCACCGUUGAAAUACCACCCUGGCGGUCUCUGGCCUCUAACCGCGCGCCGUUAUCCGGCGCCGGGACCCUGCAUGAUGGGUAGUUUGACUGGGGCGGUCGCCUCCCAAAUCGUAACGGAGGCGCGCGAUGGUAGGCUCAAGCUGGUCGGAAAUCAGCUGACGAGUGCAAUGGCAUAAGCCUGCCUGACUGCGAGACCUACAAGUCGAGCAGAGUCGAAAGACGGUCAUAGUGAUCCGGUGGUCCCGUGUGGAAGGGCCAUCGCUCAACGAAUAAAAGGUACGCCGGGGAUAACAGGCUGAUGAUUCCCAAGAGUCCAUAUCGACGGAAUCGUUUGGCACCUCGAUGUCGGCUCAUCACAUCCUGGGGCUGGAGCAGGUCCCAAGGGUUCGGCUGUUCGCCGAUUAAAGUGGUACGUGAGCUGGGUUUAGAACGUCGUGAGACAGUUCGGUCCCUAUCUGCCGUGGGUGUUGGAGAUUUGAGAGGAGCUGCCCCUAGUACGAGAGGACCGGGGUGGACGUACCUCUGGUGAACCGGUUGUCGCGCCAGCGGCACGGCCGGGUAGCUAUGUACGGACGAGAUAACCGCUGAAAGCAUCUAAGCGGGAAACUUACCUCAAAACGAGAUCUCCCUGAGAGCCGUGGAAGACCACCACGUCGAUAGGCCAGAGGUCGAAGCUCAGCAAUGGGCGCAGCCGACUGGUACUAAUCGCUCGAUAGAGCUCAAUCGC